rnacentral:rRNA from 1 species
UACGUAGGGGGCAAGCGUUGUCCGGAUUUAUUGGGCGUAAAGAGCGUGUAGGCGGUUUGGUAGGUCCGCUGUGAAAACUCGAGGCUCAACCUCGAGACGCCGGUGGAAACCAUCAGACUAGAGUCCGGAAGAGGAGAGUGGAAUUCCUGGUGUAGCGGUGAAAUGCGUAGAUAUUCGGAAGAACACCAGUGGCGAAGGCGACUCACUGGACACGUAUUGACGCUGAGGUGCGAAAGCGUGGGGAGCAAACAGG